rnacentral:rRNA from 1 species
CAGCACCUCAAGUGGUCAGGAUGAUUAUUGGGCCUAAAGCAUCCGUAGCCUGCUUUGUUAGUUUUCGGUUAAAUCCAUACGCUCAACGUAUGGGCUGCCGGGAAUACUGCAAAGCUAGGGAGUGGAGAGGUAGACGGUACUCGGUAGGAAGGGGUAAAAUCCUUUGAUCUAUUGAUGACCACCUGUGGCGAAGGCGGUCUACCAGAACACGUCCGACGGUGAGGGAUGAAAGCUGGGGGAGCAAACCGGAUUAGAGACCCGAGUAGUCC